rnacentral:rRNA from 1 species
GACGAACGCUGGCGGCGUGCUUAACACAUGCAAGUCGAACGAAGUGGCGAACGGGUGAGUAACGCGUAAUCAACCUGCCCUUCAGAGGGGGAUAACAGUUGGAAACGACUGCUAAUACCGCAUACUGAAGGAGGGGAUUGCGUGGGAUUAGCUAGUUGGAGGGGUAACGGCCCACCAAGGCGAUGAUCAGUAGCCGGUCUGGUGGGAAGGACGGCCACAUUGGGAACGGGACACGGCCCAGACUCCUACGGGGGGCAGCAAGGGGGAAUCUUCCGCAAUGGACGGAAGUCUGGCGGCGCAACGCCGCGGGAGUGAUGACGGCCUUCGGGUUGUAAAGCUCUGUUAAUCGGGACGCGGUACCGGAAUAGAAAGCCACGGCUAACUACGUGCCAGCAGCCGCGGUAAUAC